AUGAUCCUUACAUCACUUUGA
ensembl:piRNA 21ur-2720 ncRNA